UACGUAGGGGGCGAGCGUUGUCUGGAAUCAUUGGGCGUAAAGCGCGUGUAGGCGGCUCGGUAAGUCUGCUGUGAAAGCCCAGGGCUCAACCCUGGGAUGCCGGUGGAUACUGUCGAGCUCGAGUCCGGAAGAGGCGAGUGGAAUUCCUGGUGUAGCGGUGAAAUGCGCAGAUAUCAGGAGGAACACCAAUUGCGAAGGCAGCUCGCUGGGACGUUACUGACGCUGAGACGCGAAAGCGUGGGGAGCGAACAGG
rnacentral:rRNA from 1 species